rnacentral:rRNA from 1 species
UACAGAGGUGGCAAGCGUUGUUCGGAAUUACUGGGCGUAAAGGGCUCGUAGGCGGCCAACUAAGUCCGACGUGAAAUCCCAAAGCUUAACUUUGGAACUGCGUCGGAUACUGGAUGGCUUGAAUUCGGGAGAGGGAUGCAGAAUUCCAGGUGUAGCGGUGAAAUGCGUAGAUAUCUGGAGGAAUACCGGUGGCGAAGGCGGCAUCCUGGACCGACAUUGACGCUGAGGCGCGAAAGCCAGGGGAGCAAACGGGG